rnacentral:rRNA from 1 species
ACGGGAGGCAGCAGUGGGGAAUAUUGCAAAAUGGGGGAAACCCUGAUGCAGCGACGCCGCGUGAGUGAUGAAGUAUUUCGGUACGUAAAGCUCUAUCAGCAGGGAAGAUAAUGACGGUACCUGACUAAGAAGCCCCGGCUAACUACGUGCCAGCAGCCGAGGUAAUACGUAGGGGGCAAGCGUUAUCCGGAUUUAAUGGGUGAAAAGGGAGUGUAGGUGGUCUGGCAAGUCAGAUGUGAAAGCCCGCGGCUCAACCGCGGGACUGCAUUUGAAACUGUCAGACUGGAGUGCAGGAGAGGAAAGUGGAAUUCCUAGUGUAGCGGUGAAAUGCGUAGAUAUUAGGAAGAACACCAGUGGCGAAGGCGGCUUUCUGGACCGUAACUGACACUGAGGCUCGAAAGCGUGGGGAGCAAACAGGAUUAGAUACCCUGGUA